rnacentral:rRNA from 1 species
GGAAUAUUGCGCAAUGGGCGAAAGCCUGACGCAGCGACGCCGCGUGGGGGAAGAAGGCCUGCGGGUCGUAAACUCCUUUUCUGGGGGAAGAGGAAGGACGGUACUCCAGGAAGAAGCCUCGGCUAACUACGUGCCAGCAGCCGCGGUAAGACGUAGGAGGCUAGCGUUGUCCGGAUUUACUGGGCGUAAAGGGUGUGUAGGCGGGAAGGGAAGUCCUCGGUGAAAGCUCCCGGCUCAACUGGGAAAAGUCCGAGGAUACUCCUUUUCUUGAGGGCAGCAGAGGCGGGUGGAAUUCCCGGAGUAGCGGUGAAAUGCGUAGAUCUCGGGAGGAACACCAGUGGCGAAGGCGGCCCGCUGGGCUGUCCCUGACGCUGAGGCACGAUAGCGUGGGGAGCGAACCGG